rnacentral:rRNA from 1 species
GACGAACGCUGGCGGCGUGCUUAACACAUGCAAGUCGAACGGAAAGGCCCUGCUUUUGUGGGGUGCUCGAGUGGCGAACGGGUGAGUAACACGUGAGUAACCUGCCCUUGACUUUGGGAUAACUUCAGGAAACUGGGGCUAAUACCGGAUAGGAGCUCCUGCUGCAUGGUGGGGGUUGGAAAGUUUCGGCGGUUGGGGAUGGACUCGCGGCUUAUCAGCUUGUUGGUGGGGUAGUGGCUUACCAAGGCUUUGACGGGUAGCCGGCCUGAGAGGGUGACCGGCCACAUUGGGACUGAGGUACGGCCCAGACUCAUACGGGAGGCAGCAGUGGGGAAUAGUGCACAACGGGCGGAAGCCGGAUGCAGCAACGCCGCGUGCGGGAUGACGGCCUUCGGGUUGUAAACCGCUUUCGCCUGUGACGAAGCGUGAGUGACGGUAAUGGGUAAAGAAGCACCGGCUAACUACGU